UGCCACUGUCUGGAAUACCCUCUCCCCAGAUGGGACAAGAGGAACUGGGAUACAACUGAGAGAAAUGAAAAGCGGUAAACAGACGUUUACAGAAGCAUUCUUCAUAACAUCCCCAAAGUGAGCAACCCAAAUAUCCAUCAGCCAUAAAGGAUGAAGGAAAAUCAUUAGAUCCACGUUGUGGGGAACUGCUCAACCAUCCAGUGACAUGGACAUACGCUACAGUGCGGAUGACCCCUGAAAAAGUGUUACAGUGGCAAACAGAGCAGACCUAAAGUCCAUGCGCUGUACUAUUCUAUCCCACAGACACAGGAAAUAGCUCCGUGGUUGCCUCAUGCCUGGAGGAGGAAGAAGUGGGAGGUGGUCCGUUUCUUUUGGGGAGUGAUUGAAGUGUUGUAAAAAUGGAUUUCUAGUGAUGGGUCACAAUUCUGCAAAUCACCAAAGUAUCUGUCAGUAAAACCUUAAACCACG